AGGAACAGUCUUCCCCUCUAUCCAAAGCCUGGGGUGCACCCCACUUUCAACUGAGAAUUAUGAAAGAAGACAGUGGUCGAUUCCAAGAAUUCAGGCUUCAUGACAAAUGGGAUGGACUGAAAUGGCUACUGAUUACCGGCUCCGAUUCCCCCCCCCCCCCGAUCCCAACCCUCUCACCUGUGCUGAUGCUGCUGUAAAUUUCACUGAAGCGAGGGUCCCGCUCCUGACUGAAGAGGGUCUCGGCUUUCUCCAGAGGUUUGCCAUGGUCCGGGCCGGUGGUGGCCACCGGUUGAACGGCAGCCUGGAAGGAGAUGAGCAAACACAGGGUUGCACAGUCAGCUCAGUCCUACUCCUGACUAGAUCCUCUGAAAUCAACGUGCUUAAGGUCAGUCAAACCCAUGAACUGCAGAGUCUUGAGUAUGAUUAAUGUUGGAUACAAUCUGCAGGUGUCAACAUGUGCACACACAACUAAAUAAGUGAUAAGCCCAGGGAUUUAUUUCCAUUUCCAUCCCCCGCCCCGAGAGUUCAGGGCACCAUACCCCAUUCCUCCUCCCCUAAUUUUAUCCUCACAACUACCCCAAGAAGUGGGUUAGGCUGAGAGAUGGCAACUGGGCCCCUGGACACCCCAAUAAGCUUCACGGCUGAGCAAGGAUUGGAAUCUAGGUGUGUACUAACAUAAAUCCUGCAACGUGCCAAUUAAAUGAGAAUGGACGGGGUGGGAGAAUCCUGUCUGGAUUGCCACUCCACAAAAUCUAUGUUUUCAGUUGUGUGCAUGCAAAGGGGGCAGGCUGAAGGAUGGCUGAAGGGGGGAGUUAUGGGGAAAAAAGUGUCAUUUCCUCCUCUCAUGCCACUGCAGUCCUGUGCUGGAUGACUCCUCUAGUCGCCAAUGGCGACUGGCAACUCCACAGAGGUAAGCCCCGUGAGUUCCUUCCAGUGGAGUGUGUGGUGUGCCAAAGGAGGGACACAGUGAUCUGUGUCAGCGGGUGUGUUUGUGUGUGCCCUCUGCCAGGUCUUAAUUUGGGGCAGGGAGCUGGGACGAGUCCCCAUGGAAACUCUUGAAAGCUUUGCCGAUUUACCUGGGUGUGGUCGUAACUGGCUAAGCUCUCCCUGACAGGGACCACGUCGACGUCUGUUGGCUGCGUCACCUGCUGCCUGAAACGCAAGCCAUUGUUAAGAGGUUAGGAGCCGGUCGUGGGUCUGAGGAAAGUGCCACAGAGCAGGGAGAGGAACUGAGCAGAGCUUACAAGGUGCUCCGACACCUACAUGCCCCAGGGGGCCUUGGGAUAGACCCCUCACAGAGCAAAGGUCUCCAGGGUGACUCCAGCCAGCCCCCCACUUACCUCGUCGCCAGCUGGGCAGGACUCAUCUCCAAAGGCAGGCUGGCGUUCGGGCCCAGUUGGGGCCGCUGCAUCUGACUGGCCAAGGCAGGCCGGGAUUCCUGGCUGGCGUUCCUGGGGGGUCAUCGGGGAAGGGAAGGUCAGGGAUCGGAGGGAGCCAAUCGCAACCCUCAGAGCGUUCCAGUGAGCCAGGGGGUCUUUAUGCCCCUCCCUCCUCCCAAGGCUGUUUUUGGCGCCUGCUAAAGUCUUUUUUGCUACCCCAGACACACAAUUCUUUUUACACGUAUCUGUUGGUUUUAAAUCUGCAUUUUGGUAAAUUUCAGGUGCGUUUGUUUUUAAAGCUUGAUUGUAAUCAGUUUAAGAACAAAACAAAACACGUUACACUGUUCUACAUAAGUGACUCCAUAAUAAUUGCAAAAUCUGGCUUUGAUUUCUCUGAAGCUCCCCGUCUGAAGCUGGUAUAUGGAAAUGGGAUGGAUGAGUGUAUGGGUGUGUGGGGUUCUCCCCACCCCCAAGUGAAGGGGCAGAGAUAGAUUGUGCAUAAGCUUACUCAAGCUGACUGCCACAACCCUCUCUCAGAGGCCACCCGCCCCUCCACGACACCACAAUUUUUUUAAAAAAACAGACUGAAAGAUUGGCAGUGGGCAGAAAAUUGAGAGCAGUCUCCAAUGUUGGCACUACUCAAAGCAGAGCUACUGAAAUCAAUCAACAUAACUUAGUUCCAUUCAUUUCAAUGGGUCUACUCUCAGUAAAACGUAGCUGGAGAUGAUUCUUAGUCUUUAGCUCAACCUGCAAAUGUGUCCCAGUUUCAGAUUUGGGGAUGGUGAAUGUAUGGAUUCGCUCAAGGAAAUGACAACAUGACAAUAUGGGGCAGACCAAGAGGAGAGCUGGUGUCCUGAUGGCUGAGGGGGGCGGCAUUAUGGGUCGCAUCACAUGCCAGUCCUACUCAGCAGCAGACCCAUUGAAACUAAUGAACCUCCUGCUGCGGAUCUGGGCCUAUGGCUGGCCACUGUGAGAACAGGAUGAUGAAUGGGCCAUUGGCCUGAUCCAGCAGGCUUUUCUUAUGUUCUCCAAGGUAGUCAUGUUCUGUAGGUCUGCUCCAAUUAAGGCUAGCGUAUUCCCUGACAUCACAGCAGCCUGUCCAAUUAAGAGCAAAAGAGGGGGAUACUCAGAGCAGACAGGCGGUUUAGACCAAGGGAAGGGCAGAAAGUAGACUGAGAUCUGUGGGGAGAUCUCAGGGCAAUUUUGCAGUAGAUCAACAAGGGUUUCUGACCCCACAGCAAGAAAAAGCAAGUUUUCCCACCUAGGUUAGGCAGCUAAAAUGAAGAAAUCUGAACUCAUAUUUAGCAGAUUUUUGUGUGUGUGCGAAAGAGCUGUGACCUCUAGCACUGGAAACAAAUCCCUAGACUCAGAAAUGGGAUUGGAGGCUCCUUGCUCCUUAAUUCUAAGGGCGGCAGCUAACCAAGUUCCAGUCAGGGCAGACAUAUGGAAAUCUAUGGACCUAAGUUAGCCUGUCCACUGAUUUCAGUGAGUCCACUCUGCAUAGGACUAGCAUCGGGUACCCAAAGGCCACAUUCACACCACAAAUUUAAAGCACAGUGAUGCAACUUUAAAGAACCAUGGCUUCCCCCCAAGGAAUCCUGGGAGCUGUAGUUGAUGCUGAGAGUGUUUAGGAAGAGUGCCAUGUUCUUCUCCCAGAGCUACAAUUCCCAGAGAGGCUUAUCCCUCUGUCCCAUGAAACUCUGGGAAUUGUAGUUCUGGGAAGGGAAUAGAGGGGCCUCCUAACAACUCCCAGCACCCUUAACAAAUGACAUUCUCCCUAAUUCUUUGAGGGAAGCUGUGACUUUUCAAAGUUGUAUUUAAAAGUGAAUGUGCCCUGUCUAAUUUUGCAUCUGGCUGGUAGGUCUUGGGGUUCAACUGAACAACAACAACAAAAAAGGCAAAGGAGAUUUGACAACCCAGAAGCAGAAACUUAUUUUAAUGCAUUUUGCUUUAAAAGAGGCUGGAAUGAAGCUAAGGAGGGGUUUUUUGGGGUGGGAGACUGCAAAGCCCCCUCCGCCCUACAAGUCUUUCAAGGACACAGCGAAAGAGCAGGCCCCACUGCCAGUGGGGUGGGUGGGGUUGGCACAGGGGGUCCCCGCGUACGUACUUCACAUUGGUGUUGGUACAGAUGAUGUACUCUAUCUCAUCUGAGUAGGGGUUCUGGAAGGUGAAGGAGCUAGUUCUCAUCCAGAGCCAUUCUUGGUUCUUGGACCGGAAACGGAACAUGACGGACAAAACUUGGCCUUUUAACUUCACCACCUGGAAAAACGGGGGUGGGGUGGGGGGUUGUUUUGGUUUUACGCCGGCAACAGCAGCAGCCACAGCAGAGGGGUGGAAAGGAAGUCCCCCCC